GAGUCUUGCUCUGUAGCCCAGGCUGGAGUGCAGUGGUGUGAUCUCGGCUCACUGCAAGCUCUGCCUCCCGGGUUCACGCCAUUCAUUCUCCUGUCUCAGCCUCCCGAGUAGCUACAGGUGCCCGCCACUAUGCUCGGCUAAUUUUUUUAUAUUUUUAGUAGAGACGGGGUUUCACCGUGUUAGCCAGGAUGGUCUUGCUCUCCUGACCUCGUGAUCUGCCCGUCUCGGCCUCCCAAAGUGCUGGGAUUACAGGUAUGCGCCACCAGGCCUGGCUAAUUUUUGUAUUUUUAGUAGAGACAGGAUUUCACCAUGUUGGCUAGGCUGAUCUCGAACUCCUGGUCUCAGGUAAUCCUCCCGCCUCGGCCUCCCAAAGUGCUAAGAUUACAGGCGUGAGCCACUGCGCCCAGCCUAAUUUGAACAUUUUAAAAUCUUGUUUUAAUGUUGAAAUAAAAUCUCAAGUUGGUUUUUAAAAAGCUCUGUCUGAGUUGUGAUGACUCACAUCUGUAAUUUCAGUACUUUGGGAGGCUGAUGUGGGAGGAACCCCCAGGAGUUCAAGACCAGCCUGGGCAACAUAGGGAUACCCAGUAUCUCUAUAAUAAUAAUAAUAAUAAUAAUAAUAAUACAAAAAUUAACCAGGUCUGGUGGUGGGCACCUGUGAUCCCAGCUACUUGGGAGGCUGAGGCAGAAGGAUCGCUUGAGCCUGGGAGGUCAGGGUUGCAGUGAGCUGAGACUGCACAACUGCACUCCAGCCUGGGCAACAGAGUGAGACCCUGACUCAAAAAAAAAAAAAAAUAGUGCUUAGUGCCACAUGCCAGGAACCACGAUGACAACAAGUCAGAAGGGUGUUAAGUCAGGGACCACCAAGAGCUGGCGGGGAGUCUGACUGCGGGGACCCUGCCCUUUUCCAGAAGGUGAAGGUGCAGAGAAGCUCGAAAGGAUCACGACUUCUCACCCUGGCCCUGAACCCACUCACAUCAGCAGCUCUCAGCAUAGCCAACUGGACAGCUCGCACCAAUAAAUUAAACCUUAUUUCUUGCCGGCACAGUGGCUCAUGCCUGCAAUCCCAGCACUUUGGGAGGACCAAGUGAGAAGAUCACUUGAGUCCAGAAGUUCAAGACCAGCCUAGGCAACAUAGUGAGACCCUGCCUCUAAAGAAAAUUACGUGGGAGCUGUGGCAUGUGCCUGUGAUCCCAGUUACUCGGGAGGCUGAGGCAGGAGGAUCUCUUGAGCUCAGGCGGUUGAGGCUGCAGUGAACUACCGCACAGCGGCACUCCAGCCUGGAGAACAAAGCAAGACCUUGUCUUAUAACAAAAUAAAAAAGAAGCAAGCCAGCAGGUCUAAUCCAUACUUAAGAGGAGGGUAUCAGCCAGGCUGAUAUCCUCCCAAGCUACCUGGGAGACUGACACAUGAGAAUCACUUGAACCUGGGAGGUGGAGGUGGCAGUGAGCUGAGAUCACGUCACUGCACUCCAGCCUGGGCGACAGAGCAAGACUCCACCUCAAAAAAAAAAAAAAAGAAAGAAAGAAAAGAAAAGCCCCUUCGGACUGAGUCAUCUGCACAAUGCCUGAAUUCCUGCUAUAGCCCCGGCUGAUUGGCUUUUCGUUCUACGUCUGCAUAGUAACAUGGUUAGAAAAGAUAUCCUAGUUAUGUUGCAAUGAAAAAUGUCUACCUGUAACACUCACUAUUUCUUGCAGGUACCUAUAACCUGUGGAAAGGGUGAAAAGCUCAGAGAAUUCUAUUGUCUAUUUUAUUUUAUUUAUUUUUGAGGCAGGGUCUUGCUCUGUCAUCCCAGUUGGAGUGCAGUGGCAUGAUCAUAGCUCACUGCAGCCUCAAACUCUUGGGCUCAAACAGUUCUGCCUUAGCCUCCCAAGUAGCUAGGACUACAGAUUUGCACCACCACACCCGGCUAUUUGUUUGUUUGUUUGGUAGAUAUGGGGGUCUCACUAUGUUAGCCAGUCUGGUCUCAAACUCUUGGACUAGAGUGAUCCUCCCACCCUGGCCUCCCAAACAGAUGAUGGGAUUACAGGCCUGAGCCACCAUGCCUGGCCAUCUACUCUAAAUGUUAGUUAACUGCUUUGAUGGGCUGGGCGCGGUGGUUCAUGCCUGUAAUCCCAGCACUUUGGGAGGCUUGAGUCGAGCGGAUCACGAGGUCAGGAGUUUGAGACCAGCCUGGUUAACAUAGUGACACCCCAUCUCCACUAAAAAUACAAAAAACUAGCUGGGUAUGGUGGUGGGUGCCUGUAAUUCCAGCUACUUGGGAGGCUGAGGCAGGAGAAUUGCUCGAACCCGGAGGUUGCAGUAAGCCGGGAUCGCACCACUGCACUCCAACUCGGGCAACAGUGAGAGACUCCGUCUCAAAAAAAAAAAAACACCCCAAAAACUGCUUUGAUGAAAGCUAAAGAGUAAACUGUAAAUAAAAAUUAGGCCUAAUUUUUUGUUUGUUUUUUGUUUUUGUUUUUGAGACCAAGUCUCACUCUGUCGCCCAGGCUGGAGUGCAGUGGCAUGAUCUCGGCUCAUUGCAGCCUCUACCUUUCAGGUUUAAGUGAUUCUCAUGCCUCAGCCUCCCAAGUAGCUGGGAUUACAGAUGCCUGCCACCAUGCCCGGCUAAUUUUUGUAUUUUUAGUAGAGACAGGCUUUCACCAUGUUGGCCAGGCUGGUCUCGAGCUCCCGACCUCAAACAAUCCACCCACCUCGGCCUCCUAAAGUGCUGGGAUUAUAGGUGUGAGCCACCAUGCCCAGCCAAGAUUAGGUCUAAUUUUUAAAGUCACCUGGAGCAUAGAAAAUGUUUCUGCAAUUAUUAAUCUACUUUUUUUUUUUUUUUUGAGACAGGGUCUCACUCUGUCACCCAAGCUGGAGUGCAGUGGUAUGAUCAUGGGUCACUAAAGCCUCACCCUCUUGGGCUCAAGCAAGAUCUUCCUGCCUCAGCCUUCCAAGAGCUGGGAUUACAUGUAUGCACCACCACGCCCAGCUAAUUUUUAGUUCUUGUAGAGACAGAGGUCUCACUAUGUUGCCCAGACUGGUUCUGAACUCUUGGGCUUGAGAGAUCCUCCCACCUUGGCUUCCCCAAAUGCUGGGAUUACAGGCAUGAGCCACCACACCUGGCCUCACAUAUUUUGACGUCUAAAACACCAAAGAUAUUUUUAAGGAGCUGAACAAACCAGUAAUUUUUAAAGAAAAAAGUAGUGGGAGCAUCUAGUACAACCAAAACCAGGCAUCAAAGUCAGCAGUUAAACAUUCCAGGCUGGGCACAGUGGCUCAUGCCUGUAAUCUCAACACUUUGGGAGGCCCAGGUGGGAGGAUUGCUUGAGCCCUGGAAAGCGGAGGUUGCAGUAAGCCAUGAUCAUGCCACUGUAUUCCAGCCUGGAAGACACAGUGAAGCCCUGUCUCAAAAAUAAAAGAACCAAUAAAUAAAUCCAGAACCAGUGCUCACUUCGGCAGCACAUAUACUAAAAUUGGCAUGACAUGGAGAAGAUGAGCAUGGUACCUGGGAAAGUAUGACACACAAAUUCAUUAAGCAUUUCAUAUUUUUAAAAAACAUUUCGGAACCAAGAAAAUAAAUGAAUCAAAAGAAAGGGAAGACCCUGGUGAUUCCUUUGAUAUUAGAAAAAAUCAGCCAGGCGUGGUGGCUCAUGCCUGUAAUCCCAGCAAUUUGGGAGGCCGAAGCGGGCGGAUCACUUUAGGUCAGGAGUUCAAGACCAGCCUGGCCAACAUGGUGAAACUCCGUAUCUACUAAAAGUACAAAAAUUAGGCUGGGUGUGGUGGCUCACACCUGUAAUCCCAGCACUUUGGGAGGCCGAGGGGGGUGGAUCACCUGAGGUGAGGAGUCCAAGACCAGCCUGGCCAACAUGGCACCACUGCACUCCAGCCUGGGCAACAGAGUGAGACUCUGCCUUGAAAAUAAUAAUAAUAAUAAAAAUAAUCAAUUGCAGAUAGACCAUAGACCUAAAUGUGAAGAGGUAAAAACAAUAAAUCUUUUAGAAUUGCUCUGUUCAUGUAUGGCUAUUGAGCACUUGAGAUGUGCUAUUAAGUGUAAAAUUUGCACUGGAUUUUAAGCACUUAGUAGGAAAAAAAACUAAAAAUAUCUCAAUUUUAACAUUACAAUUUUGAAAUAAUAAUUUGGAUAUACUGAGUUAAACACUACUAAAAUUAGUUUUAUCUGAUUAUUUUUGUUCUUUUAAUGUGGAUACUAGAUCAUUUUAAAUUGCAUAUGUGGCUUACUUCCUAUUUCUAUUGGACAGCACUAAUGUAGAAGGUAAUAAAAGAUAUAUACUUUCAGGACGUCAAAUUAGGAAAAGGUGUGUUAAAUUGUAUUUCAAAAGCAUGAAUCAGGCCAGGCGUGGUGGCUCACACCUAUAAUCCCAGCACUUUGAGAGGCUGAGGCAGGCAGAUCACUUGAGGUUGGGAGUUCGAGAUCACCCUGACCAACAUAGUGAAACCCUGUCUCUACUAAAAAUACAAAAUUAUUUGGGCAUGGUGGCGCAUGCCUGUAAUCCCAGCUAUUCAGAAGGCUGAGGCAGGAGAAUCGCUUGAACCCAGGAGACAGAGGUUGCCGUGAGCCGAGAUCCCAGCCUGGGCAACAAGAGUGAAACUCCAUCUCAAAAAAAAAAAAAUCCAUGAAUCAUAAAGGAAAAGACUAAUAGAUUAAUAUUUGACCACACUGAAAUUUUGCUGUCAAAAAGACGUAAUUGAAAGACUAAAAAGCCACAGACAGGAAAAUACAUUUGUAGCGCCUACAAGUCUCAAAGCACUUAUGCCAAUAAUAUAUAAACUCCAGCCAACUGAUAAAGAAAAGACAACCCAAUAGAAACAUAGGAAAACAUCCGGAAAAGAUGCUUCACAAAAGAGAAUCGUUAAAUGACCAGUAAACAUAAAAAAGUGUUCAGCCUCAUUAAUAAAUCAGAAAAUGCACAUUAAAACCAUAAUGAGAUACCACUACAAACCCACCAGAAUUACUAUAAUUAAAAGAGUCGACAAGACUGUGGAGCAACAAAGAUAUAUAUUUAUUCUUGUUUUUAGAUGUCUCUCUCUCUAUAUAAAUGUGCACCCAGAGACAUCUAAAAACAAUGGUCAUGACAGUAUUAUUUGUAAUAGCCCAGGUUGAAACAACCCAGUGUCCAUUAGCAGUUGAAGGACUAAAUAAAUGGUGGUAUAUCACAGAAGGGCACAGUACAUAGUAAUGAAAAAAAAGAAACCACAGCUAUAUAUAAUAGCAUAAAUGAAUUUCACAAGCAUAAUGUUGAGCAAAAGAAGCCAAACACAAAAGCAUGCAAACUGCAUAAUUCCAUUUAUAUAAGGUAAAAACAAAAACAAACCCAGCUAAGGUGAUCUACAGUUUUAGAAGUCAGGAUGGGGGUUCCCUUGAGGAGGAAAGAGAAGACAAUGUUGGCCGGGCACAGUGGCUCACACCUGUAAUCCCAGCACUUUGGGAGGCCGAGGCGGAUGGAUUACGAGGUCAGGAGAUCGAGACCAGCCUGGCUAACACAGUGAAACCCUGUCUCUACUAAAAAUGCAAAAAAUUAGCUGGAAGUGGUGGCGGGCACCUGUAGUCCCAGCUACUCAGGAGGCUGAGGCAGGAGAAUGGCAUGAACCCAGGAGGCGCAGCUUGCAGUGAGCCGAGAUCGCCACUGCUCUCCAGCCUGGGUGACAGAGCAAUAAUCCAUCUCAAAAAAAAAGAGAAGACAAUGUUUGGGAAGGGGUAUGGGGGGAUUCUGGGGUGCUGUUAAUGUUCUAUUUCAUGACUUGUGUGUUAAAAAUGUGUAUUUUGGGCUGGGCGCAGUGGCUCACACCUGUAACCCCAGCACUUUGGGAGGCCAAGGCAGGUAGAUCACCUGAGGUUAGGAGUUCAAAACCAGCCUGGCCAACAUGGUGAAACCCUGUCUCUACUAAAAAUACAAAAAAUUAGCUGGGCAUGGUGGCAGUGCCUGUAAUCCCAGCUACUCGGGAGGCUGAGGCAGGAAAAUCACUUGAACCCAAGGGUGGGAGGUUGCAGUGAGCCGAGAUCACACCACUGCACUCUAACCUGGGCAACAAGAGCAAAACUCUGUCUCAAAAAAAGUGUAUUUUGUGAUGAAUUUGUAUGAUCUAUAUAUUUUUGAGGAAAGCGCCUUCCUGUGAUGCACAAUAAAAAGGUUUUGUUUUUAUUUUGUAUUAUUUCAAAAUAUUUUUAAAAUUUAAUAUCUAAAUAUACUAUUUUAGAUAUUCAAAAUUUCUGAUGAUGGCUUCACUUUUGCAUCAUAACAUCUUUGCAAUUAAAUCAAUUAAUGUGAUUAAAUCAAUCCAUUUUUGUAGUUGGGUUGGUUCUGUGAUUGCGUCAUUGUGUGCCCCGACAGUCUUUAAGAGUGCCAAUAAGUAUAUAUAUGUGUAAUUUUUAAAAACAAUUUUAUAAUUUCAACUUUUAUUUUAGAUUCAGAGAGUACAUGUGCAGGUUUGUUACGUGAGUAUUUCGCAUGAUGCUGAGGUUGGGGGUAUGAACGAUCCCAUCCCCAGAUAGUGAGCAUGGUACCCAAUAGGUGGCUUUUCUGCCCUUGCCUUCCCCCUCUCUUCCCUCUACCCCCUCUAGUAGCACCCUGUGUCUGCUGCCCCAUCUUUAUGUCCAUAUGUACCCAAAGUAUGUCCAUAUGUCCCACUUGUAAGUAAGAACAUGCAGCAUUUGGUUUUCUGUUUCUAUGUUAAUUCUCUUAGGAUCAGGGCCUCUGGUUGCAUCCAUGUUGCUGCAAAAGACAUGAUCUCAUUCUUUUUUAUGGCUGUGUAGUAUUUUACAGUGUAUAUGUACCACAUUUUCUUUAUCCAGUCCACCACUGAUGGGCAUAUAAGUUGACUUCAUGUCUUUACCAUUGUGAAUAGUGCUGCGAUAAACAUACAAGUGCAUGUGCCUUUUUGGUAGAAUGAUUUAUUUUCUUUUGGGUCUAUACCAAGUAAUGAGAUUGCUGGGUAAAUGGUAGUCCUGAGCAGACUGUUUGAGGCCAGGAGUUUGUGACCAGCCUGGGCAACAUGGCAAAACCCCAUCUCUACUAAAAAUACAAAGAAAUUAGCUGGGCAUAGUGGCACAUGCCUGUAGCCCCAGCUACUUGGGAGGCUGAGAUGGGAGAAUCACUUGAACCCAAGAGACGGAGGUUUCAGUGAGCUGAGAUCACACCACUGCACUCCAGCCUGGGUGACAGAGCAGGACUCUGUCUCAAAAAACAAAAAAAAGACAAUGUGAGAAUCUUAAAAGCUCAGAGAGAAGAGUAACUCUCACAGACAAGGGAUCCGGUUAACAUUAGCAGCUGAUUUCUCAGCAGAAAACUUGGAAGGCCAGUAGAUAGUGGAUUAUAUAUUUAAAAUAAUGAAGAAACAUGUCAAUUGAGAAGUCUAUAGCUGGAAAACCUGUCCUUCAAAAAUGAGGGAGAAAUUAAGACAUUUCCAGCUUUUUUUUAAAAGCUGAGAAAUCCAUUUAUCUCUAAAUUUGCCAUACAAGAAGUGUUAAAGUCCUUCAGGUUGAAAUAAAUGAACUCUAGGCAGUAAUUAUAUAAGUAAAUAAGCAAGUUAUAUGAAUAUAUAAAGCCCUCUGGUAAAGGUAAAUACAUAAACAAACAUAAAAACAGUAUUAUUGUAAUUUUGGUUUGUAACUCCGCU
rnacentral:lncRNA from 10 species